CACAGCAUUUUACUGUAGAUCUGCAAAGGAUCAUGGUCAAGAUUCAGUGGUGGGUGAAUUCUACAGUAAGCAUAUUUCUGCUGUAAAUCACAAUACGACAGAAAGACGUCUUUAUAUCAUCAGUAACAGUUACCGUGAGGCAUGUGUAAGUAGCCUACUGAAGUGGACAGAGCCCCAAAACAGUGCAGGGAAGAAAACUUUAGUCCAAGAUGUGGAUUCCAGCAAAUGUAAAACAAAGCACUUGCACAUUUUUAUGUUUUUGUUCAGAACAGCAGUGUUUACAAAAAUAUGAAUUUAUUUAUUUA